UAUAAUCCAGGAGGGAGACGUUGAUGACUCCUUUUGUGAUAGGAGAGAAUAUCCUGUAGGGCAAAAACCAAACCAAAUCAAACCAAAAAUCUCCUUGAAAUGCAGUCUCAAAACCUUUUUCUUGCUUAGGUGUGACAUGUCGUGAAUUAAAGGAGGCUGUAGAAGUAAUUGGGUGAGACACUUUGGAUACAACCAUGAAGACUGAGGACAGCCAGUCUUACCUUCAGCAGAAUGGUUUUCCAAGACAGCCUUCUGGGUCUCACCACUUGGAAGUAAGUGAAUCAGUAUUAGUGAAACUAACAGUUUGGUUUACUCACAGUGUGGACUCUCUCUGGCCCCUGUCCUCAGGAGGAUCUUAGCAAUGGGCACGUUGUUGGUCAUGAUGGCGAUAUCCAGAGGCGUCAAGCCCUCACUGUUGGGCGUGUUGAGAUCCAGCUCCUCUGCUGUGUACUGAUACAGAAGGAUCUGCACAGCAUCCAUGUCCUGCUGUUCCACUGCUUCAAACAUGGCUUCGUUGCCCUGGAAGUUCUGGAGAAGAAAAGCAGCUCUCUGGUGGCCUUGAAGGCCAUCAGUCUGCACUCCCGGUAAGACGACGAUGAUGGCAACCGCAGCAAUGAAACCAUGGUCUGGGGCCACCGGUGGUGCAAAAUGGUGAUGGCACGGCUCACAACUGCAUUUUGACAGCAUUGUCACCACUUGACCUGUUUGGUGGCUCCCUGGAGGGGCCCACUCACGAGGCUUUUCUUGAUUGAUCUGACUUGGAGCUGACCAAGUGCAAACCACCUUUUCUUCUGGGGCAUUUGUCAGAAAUGAACAUCAGCAACCGUUUAACAGCACAGCUGCCGAGGUGCUUACAUAAGAGUGGAGCAAACAGUAGACUCACCAAAAAGCUUAAAGGAAAAGCUAGGGAAUGCGAUGCACGUGAAGACUUUGAAAAUCUCUGACACAUUCCUGGGGCUCUGUCCGACCACAUACAUGCCUGAGGCUGGGAGCAUUCUCAUGAAAUACCUGAGGAGUCCUAAGGUCUCAUCUCUGUCCGACUCUGAGGCUCUGCAAGCAGGAAGUGAAGGCUAAGGCAGAGCCUCAAAAGCCUGAUGAGAUUGGAGGUGUGACCCCAAAUGCACACAGAGCCCCUCUGCGAAGACUGGGCGACUUAUUGGUUCCAGGUACUCAAGGAUGUUUUUGUUGAAUCAUUAGGUGACCACUAGGCUAACCAAGAGGAGUGUUAGUUGCCACAUAUAACAAUAAAUACAGACUUUAUAGACUUAAUUUUGAAAAAUAUCAUUAAACAGUAAACCCUGUGGAAGGGGGAUAAUCUGGUUUCUAGAGUUGCCACAUUGUUAUUUAAUGUCUAGUUUUCAACAACAACUAGAACAACAACAAAAUGAGGCACAAGAAGAAACAAAAAAUAUCUCCAAUUCACAGAAAAUAAAGCGUAAGCAUUGUUCCUGAAGAAGUUCAAGUAUUGGAUUUAUUAGACAAAGACUUUAAGUUUGAUUUUUAAAUAUUUUCAAGGAACCAAAGGAAAUGAUGAGAAUGAUGUCUCACCAAAUAGACAAUAUCAGUAAAAAGGUAAAUUUUACCAAACAAAGCCAAAACCAAAUAGAAAUUUUGGAGAAUAACUUGAAAAAAUUCACUAGAAGUACCCAACAUCAGAGCUGAGCAUGCAGAAGGAAAGAUUUUCAAACUGGAAAAUAGGUCCAGUUUAGGAGCAAAAGAAAAAUGAAGUAAAAUGAACAGAGGUUUGUGGAACACAGUUCAGUGUAUCAACAUACACAUAGUAGAAGUCCAAGGAGGAGAGGGAGGACAGGGAGGAAGAAUAUUUAAAGAACUAAUGUCCCCAGUCUUCCUAAAAUUGAUGAAAAACAACCUACACAUCCAAAAAUCUCAAUAAACUCCAAGAAUAUCAAUAAAUUCACUAAGAAUGAUAAAUUAAAAGAUAUUCACAUUUAGAUAUGUCAUAAUUAAACUGCCAAAAGCUACAUACACGAAGACAAAAUCUUGAAAACAACAAGUGAGAAAUGACACACUGCAUAAAAAGAAUCCUCAAAUGAGUUUACAGCAUAUUUUUCAGCAGAAAACCAUAGAGGCCAGAGGAUGUGGGAUGACACAUUCAAAAUGCUGAAAGGAAAAUUAUUGUCCAAUAAGAACUUCUCUGUCCAGCAAAGCUACCUUUUGGAACUGAAGGGCAAAUUAAGACAUUCACAGAUAACAAAUGAGAGAAUUUGAUAGCAGACCUUCCCCAUGAGAAAUAUUAAAGGGAGUCCUUCAGAUGGAAAUUAAAGGAUACUAGACAGUGACUCAAAUAUGCAUGAAAGAAAGAGCAUUGCAAAGGAAAUUACAUCAGUUAGUAGAAAAGGUAGUAUAACUAUGAGAUAGGAUAAGGCUUUCUGUAACUCUCUCCUUUCUCUGAUUUAAAACAGAUUUAAGAUGAAAUGAAGAAAAAACUCCUAAGUGGAAAUUAAAAUAGUGUGGCAUUAAAAAGAUUAUGAUACUUAGGAGUAAAUGUAACAAAAGAAAUGUAAAACUUACUAACCUUUCUUCAGUUACUUUGUUUGAAUGUGGCAUGUGAACUUGCUGGGAACUUUGUUAAUACCUCAUGAUACCCAUAUAGCACCCAUAAGAGUGUCUUGAAAAUGAUAGAAAUAGUACUCUUUACAUCUUUGCAUUGACCUGACUGGGAAAAAAAAAAGAUCCACAUGUGGAAUGAAGUACCUGGUGGGUGAAAUGUACCGGAGAACCAUCAGGGAAACUGUUUAUGCUGUAUUGAGUCUGUGGUACCACUCUUCAGAGAACAUUCCUUGUUAGUUGGUUUAACUGAAAAACUCAACAGGUCGAGAUCUGCACUGACAUUUUCUUCUCUUCUUCAACCUCAAGAUAAUCAUGGUGGUUUUAACAACAGUAUUACAAGUAGGGACUUUGAUAUCAGACUGAUUUACUUUUGGGUUUUGGCUUUUACAUUUAUUAACUGGAUGACAUUGGACGAAUUAUUUAGCUUCCCUCACGUCUACUUUCUUCACCAUUAACAGUGGUCCUCAUCUCAAUUAUAGUAGUCGUGCCUAAAAAGGAUAUUAGAAUUUUAAAUGAGUUAAUAUAUCAAUCGCUCAGUAGAGUGCCUGACAUGAGGAGAAGUUCGAUAAAUAUUUUUAAACAUUUAUUUAUUUCAGGCCUGCUUCUCCCAGACAACUACUGAUUCAUUUUCUGAAACUACACAUAGGGUUUAUUUUCUAGAAUUUUGUACAAAUGAAAUCAUUAUUAUGUACUUAAAAAAAAACUGGCUUC